AAUAACAAGAGUGCACACGCUGAAAUGUCUCGCCUUCUAUACUAAUCAUUGAUAUUAUGUUGAUAGUUCUAAGUAUAAAGCUAAGCUUUAAUACAACUGUCACAUAAACUUAACAUUAACCAAGAUAACUAAACAAAAACCAAUGAACCUUGAAAAUGAGGUCAAGGUCAGAUGAACCAUGCCAGGCAGACAUGUACAGCUAACAAUGCUUCUAUACAACAUAUAUAG
rnacentral:lncRNA from 1 species